UAUUGGGAUUGAAUACAUGGUUCGCUGGACAAUUAAGACUCCACCCUCUUCAUCCUCUUCAUCUCAUUACAAUUCUUCUAUGGAUAAGGUGUCCCAACACAAAUGCAAUGGGAAUGUGCGCGCAGGGUUAUUAACUAGAAUUUCUUACAAAGUGAUAUACGGUUCGAUCUGUGCCUCUUGCCCUGGCCUAUGUGAAUUGCAGUUGUUUGGGUUGUUCAGUGAGGGUUUCAUUUAUUACUUUCUUGUAUUUAUCUUUGGGUAGUUGAUCAAGGCUGUGAUCUCUCUAGAUUUUGAUGGGACAAGGAUGAAAAGUCAACCUGGAUAUGAAUUGGUUUUUCCGAAUGGAGAUGCAAGAGAUGGGAUACUGGAUAUGCAUUGGUUUUUCAGAAUGGAGAUACAAGAGAUAGGAUACUGGAUAUGCAUUGGUUUUUCAGAAAUUGGAGAUGCAAGAGAUGGGAUACAGUGGUGAUGUCCAGUUCCUCUCUUAUUUAUGUACUGGCGGUUCCUUUUAUAUAGGUUUUUCUUUUGACUGAUUUGCCCCGUAACAGCCGUUGUAUAUUGGUAAAUCAAUGUAUAGUGUGAUGUUGCCUCUUUGAUCCAGCACUCCAUGGUAUGUUGUAUCCAUCCAUGAAUUGAGAAAUGAAUCUGCUAGAGUUUUGGAAGAUGAAUUGAGAUUGUGGCAUAGUCUUUAUUGAAGUUCAGAAUCAUAUCCAAUCUUUAGUAAUGGUGAUACCUCAUCAAUAUCCUGCUUGCGCUUGUAUGUAUGGAGUCUUGGCUUAUCUGUUUGUUUGUUUCAGUUGCUCUAGCAUGAUGCUCACUCUUCUGGUGACAAAGGAUUACUCUGCAUUUUCGUGAUCCAUUUGAGCAAGAUAAGAUAACUGAAACAUCGAUUGCCUUGCCUUUGUUUUAACUAUUGCUGGCGGAUUUCCAUUGCACUGCUCGGGCUACAUUAUGACUUUAUUUCUCUUAACAAUGUUGUUCAGUGAAGUUGUUGAAGAGGUGUUCUUUUGUUCAAACAAAAAAAAAAGUCGGGUUUUUCUUGUGGUUGGUUACAGAUCAUUGUGACCUGAUUUUAUCGAGUGCCCUUGUGUGCCGACGAAUGAAGUGUAAUUAUGGUAUCCAUAGGUGAUGUUGGCUUUUGUGACGCCAAUGCCUAAGCUAUUGCAUUGCUUCUGUUGGCCCAUGUAAUUCUUAUGGUUAUGCUAUUGGAUUAUUUCUGUUCAGUUUGCUGGAUCAUGUUUCCAAGAUUCAAGAAUUUUUUUUUUUUGAAGAAUCCAAGAUUCAAGAUAAUUCCCUGGUAAUUUGCAAUCAACUUGAUGCUGAUAGAAGGUGGUUAUCUUGAGAUGUGGUGAUGGAGUUCGGCAAUUUGUUCAAUAUUUUAGGGGAACAAAGCAAAUUGGAAAGGCGUUCUCAUGUGCAGCUGAUUUGAUGAGUUCAAGCACUAGGUGUGGCAUUGCUUCCGUGAUAGGCAACAGGUUGAAGUGCUUAUUGCAAACCAUGGAUUCACAGAUGGUCGUCGGGUUUUGGGAUAAUAAAUGCCCCAUAUUUGUCCCACCUUUCAUUAGGUGCGAUAAUGAUCAAUGUCUGCAUUCUUUGCGAAGUGUGAUUAUAGGUGGUCCUCUUGGUUGAUUUUGGGAACGAAACAUUGCUGGAUACUGCCGUGCUCCUACAACAAAAGUUGGUUCGUGCUUUCGAUAUCAACCUGGUUCAUGGGUUUGAUUGGUUUGAAUUAUUGGAUAACCCUCAUCAAAUUUUUUUUGGGUUGGUAUGAUUUGAUAUUGUUUCCGGGAGGCUUGCUUUCACGAGUAUUGGCGCAGUUCUGAAAAUUUUGUGCCCUUAGGUUUCAUGUGAUGGUCUUAUUGGAGGCAAUAAUGGAGGCGCACAACAUUGUUUGAUGUUCCUUGAGAUUAUUGGAUUUCUUGUGUGCUUUGUGUUGCAUUAUUUUAUCAGUUACAACUUUUAUUGGAUCAUUGCCACAUGUUUUGAUAUGUAUGGGAACGAGUUAUUUUGACUGGAUUGAAUCUGCACUCGUGCAAGUCUGUAGAUCCAUUCUGUGGCCAUCGGGACUUAUUCCUAGUGGUUCUGGGAGACCUGCUGAGUUCUAUCAAUGUGAUUUAGCUGUAGUGGUUUUGAGAGACCUGCUGAAUUCUCCAUAGGGAUAUAUUUAUGAAGGCGCACAGGUAUUGUUUGAUGUUCCAUGAGAUUUCUAAGCUGUGUUGCAUUACUUUGUCAAUGACAUUUUUUAUUAGAUCAUUGAUGCAUGUUUUGACAUGUAUGGGAACUAAUUAUUUUGACUGGAUUGCUUCUGGCCUUCUGCAAGAGUAGAUCUAUGUUAUGGGCAUCGGGAUUUAUUUCUAGUGGUUUUGGGAGAGUAAUCGGUGGCACACAUUGGACUGUUUCGAAUUUGUUGUCUAGCAGUGUGGUUUGAUUUAUCUGGACCCAACUUUGGACCUUCUUGUUGGCUAGCCUAGAGUUUCUCUUUAUUAAUUAUAUGAUGAUACCCUUGCAUCCUGGUGAUGCUGUAGGUGGGGGAGGUAUAUAUCGAUUGGUUAUUUGCCCAAUGGGCACCAUGGCCUAUGGCUUCUGAGUGGGCUCUGUUUGGUAUGUUUUAAUUAUAGUCAAGUGCUUCGGAUCUCUCGGUGGGGUGGUAUAUACAGUGGCUGUUGUAAUAUUGGGGGUUUAGGCUGCAUCAUGGUUCUAGCAACCAUAUUGUUAGCUGAUUUGUAUUUCAAUUUCCUGUUGCGUUUUGUUGAACGGCUGGCAAUUAGGUUUUUAUAUGCAUUAUGACUGGAGCAUUGGACAGUAUUGAGGUGAUAUCAGUGCCCGGAACAUUCAAAUGUCAAAAAUAUUGUUUA